rnacentral:rRNA from 1 species
CGGCAGGCCUAACACAUGCAAGUCGAGCGCACUCUUCGGAGUGAGCGGCGGACGGGUUAGUAACGCGUGGGAAUAUACCCUUUUCUACGGAAUAGCCUCGGGAAACUGAGAGUAAUACCGUAUACGCCCUUCGGGGGAAAGAUUUAUCGGUGAAGGAUUAGCCCGCGUCUGAUUAGAUAGUUGGUGGGGUAAUGGCCUACCAAGUCUACGAUCAGUAGCUGGUUUGAGAGGAUGAUCAGCAACACUGGGACUGAGACACGGCCCAGACUCCUACGGGAGGCAGCAGUGGGGAAUCUUAGACAAUGGGCGCAAGCCUGAUCUAGCCAUGCCGCGUGAGUGACGAAGGCCUUAGGGUCGUAAAGCUCUUUCGCCAGAGAUGAUAAUGACAGUAUCUGGUAAAGAANCCCCGGCUAACUCCGUGCCAGCAGCCGCGGUAAUACGGAGGGGGUUAGCGUUGUUCGGAAUUACUGGGCGUAAAGCGUACGUAG